CAGGAGAUUCUGGGAGAUGUGUGUGGAGUGUGGAGGAGGAAGUGCUCCUACCUAUGAGAUUCCUCUGACCACACUCAUCCACACCAGUCUUCAGGGAUUUGGGGUUUAUGAAGCCAAGAGGUGUUUUUUAAUUGAUCCUACGAGAUUUCUCGUUGGAUUUCUAUCCCAAGAGGUACCAGGACAAACAUCUGCCCCUGGUCUCAGAAAAUCACUGGAAUUUGUGAAGGUCAAUUGAUACUCAACACAAAGGAAGACAGCUUCAGAAGGACAAAAGACUUGGUGCUUGCAGGAGAGAAAGUCAGUGCUCAGCACAGUGGUCACUGUGUGGGAGCCAUCUGUCACUUCAAUUCACUGGGACAGAGACAGGGAAUGUCUGGAUUGAUCAUGAUGAGAAGCAGCGAAGAAUACCACUUGGCAAAAUGCACAAGAUGAAGUUGAUAUUGCUUCUGUGAAGCCAACAGAUAAUAUGUAGGAUGCUGAGACUAUCAGAAAGUCCUGUGUCUAAUCUAGCCUCUGCCCAACACAGAUUUAGGGUCAUAACCUUUUAAUCUCUCUGUUGUUUUUUUGCAAGAACAUAGCUCCGCCCCUACCCCCUGCUCUAGUUCACUAGCCUGUCACAAUUUGGACUUAGAAAUCCCAGAACUAGAAACCUGUCUAAUUUCACAAUUUGUUCCAGUUCUGGGUACUUCAGAGCUCACAUACAAGAGCCUUGAUGGUGUCUCUGUCUGCUAGGACAGGGGCUCCUUAUUCAUCAUGUUGUUACAGGCUCUUACAGGUUGUCACUUCACUGUCAGUGUCAAGACCCUGAAGCAAACUCUUAAUGCCUUUACUGAUCAUGCUUAAUGGAUUCAGACAUUUGUUGUAAUUACUAUGUUCUUGCUACUAAGUGCUCUCAGUGAGAGCAAGUAGAAUAUGGUAUUUUUUAAUGUAUUUAAUUCAGAUUUGAUCAAAACAUUUUGUAAAUGUAUUGGUGGAAUCAUUGAAGUCUUUUUGUGUUCAGUUCAGACCUGUCUCCUGCUAUGCACACUCAUAUUCCAUCUCUCACUAUUGUAAAGUGAGUGCACAAGUGUACAUAUUGCCAUUGGAUUAUGCAUGUGGCAAAGGCAUUGCACUCCACUGUUCAAAAGACAUGUCCCUCUAACCUCUAACCUCUAACCUCUCCUAUAACAAUCCUACUUCACACUCUCUCCCCUUGUCAUUGGUGUCUCCUUUCUCCACCUAAAGGCAUGUGCUCCCAUUACUCUAAAUAUACAUUGCAUUUGCCCUAACACACUUAAAAUAUUUUCAAGAUAGAUGUCAAGGAUUUGAUUAAAGGACACUUAAAAAGUGAAAGCAAUCUUUUUAUAUGCUUGCUUUUUAAAACCAUUUUGUGUUUUAUGGAAUGCUUUCUUUCAUGUAGCCCAGUUCCAUGAAGAUAUAGGGCAUCUUCAUAAUCCGAGAAGUCCUAUACAUUUUGUCAGGGCACAAUAAUUAGGAAGUAACACAUAUGCAUCUUCUUCUAUAGAUCAGCUUUUAAGUGCAUUUCCCUCCCCAUGAACACAUAUAACUUUAUUGUUAACAGUUAUUUUUAAUAUCUUAAACUUUGGACUCCAUACGUAUCAUUGUCUGGUUAUAACUGGCUUUUCUGUGAUAUAUUUUUCUGAAUUAAUAUCAUGAGUAACAAUAGCUGUCAUGAAUGGUGUCAAUCAAUACUGGUAUUUGUAAUAACAAGUCGCUGCAUAUGUUGAUGUGUCAUAGGUUGAUAUUUCAACAUGGUUUAUACAUAUUCUAAGUAAAGUUU
rnacentral:lncRNA from 1 species